UAUCAGAAGUGCGAAUGCUGACAUAAGUAACGAUAAAGCGGGUGAAAAGCCCGCUCGCCGGAAGACCAAGGGUUCCUGUCCAACGUUAAUCGGGGCAGGGUGAGUCGACCCCUAAGGCGAGGCCGAAAGGCGUAGUCGAUGGGAAACAGGUUAAUAUUCCUGUACUUGGUGUUACUGCGAAGGGGGGACGGAGAAGGCUAUGUUGGCCGGGCGACGGUUGUCCCGGUUUAAGCGUGUAGGCUGGUUUUCCAGGCAAAUCCGGAAAAUCAAGGCUGAGGCGUGAUGACGAGGCACUACGGUGCUGAAGCAACAAAUGCCCUGCUUCCAGGAAAAGCCUCUAAGCAUCAGGUAACAUCAAAUCGUACCCCAAACCGACACAGGUGGUCAGGUAGAGAAUACCAAGGCGCUUGAGAGAACUCGGGUGAAGGAACUAGGCAAAAUGGUGCCGUAACUUCGGGAGAAGGCACGCUGAUAUGUAGGUGAAGUCCCUCGCGGAUGGAGCUGAAAUCAGUCGAAGAUACCAGCUGGCUGCAACUGUUUAUUAAAAACACAGCACUGUGCAAACACGAAAGUGGACGUAUACGGUGUGACGCCUGCCCGGUGCCGGAAGGUUAAUUGAUGGGGUUAGCGCAAGCGAAGCUCUUGAUCGAAGCCCCGGUAAACGGCGGCCGUAACUAUAACGGUCCUAAGGUAGCGAAAUUCCUUGUCGGGUAAGUUCCGACCUGCACGAAUGGCGUAAUGAUGGCCAGGCUGUCUCCACCCGAGACUCAGUGAAAUUGAACUCGCUGUGAAGAUGCAGUGUACCCGCGGCAAGACGGAAAGACCCCGUGAACCUUUACUAUAGCUUGACACUGAACAUUGAGCCUUGAUGUGUAGGAUAGGUGGGAGGCUUUGAAGUGUGGACGCCAGUCUGCAUGGAGCCGACCUUGAAAUACCACCCUUUAAUGUUUGAUGUUCUAACGUUGACCCGUAAUCCGGGUUGCGGACAGUGUCUGGUGGGUAGUUUGACUGGGGCGGUCUCCUCCUAAAGAGUAACGGAGGAGCACGAAGGUUGGCUAAUCCUGGUCGGACAUCAGGAGGUUAGUGCAAUGGCAUAAGCCAGCUUGACUGCGAGCGUGACGGCGCGAGCAGGUGCGAAAGCAGGUCAUAGUGAUCCGGUGGUUCUGAAUGGAAGGGCCAUCGCUCAACGGAUAAAAGGUACUCCGGGGAUAACAGGCUGAUACCGCCCAAGAGUUCAUAUCGACGGCGGUGUUUGGCACCUCGAUGUCGGCUCAUCACAUCCUGGGGCUGAAGUAGGUCCCAAGGGUAUGGCUGUUCGCCAUUUAAAGUGGUACGCGAGCUGGGUUUAGAACGUCGUGAGACAGUUCGGUCCCUAUCUGCCGUGGGCGCUGGAGAACUGAGGGGGGCUGCUCCUAGUACGAGAGGACCGGAGUGGACGCAUCACUGGUGUUCGGGUUGUCAUGCCAAUGGCACUGCCCGGUAGCUAAAUGCGGAAGAGAUAAGUGCUGAAAGCAUCUAAGCACGAAACUUGCCCCGAGAUGAGUUCUCCCUGACUCCUUGAGAGUCCUGAAGGAACGUUGAAGACGACGACGUUGAUAGGCCGGGUGUGUAAGCGCAGCGAUGCGUUGAGCUAACCGGUACUAAUGAACCGUGAGG
rnacentral:rRNA from 1 species